GUUCUCUAAGAGGCCCGCUAUCGGAAUGGGUACAAUUUAAACCCUUUAACGAGGACCUAUGAGAGGGCAAGUCUGGUGCCAGCAGCCGCGGUAAUUCCAGCUCUCAAGGUGUAUAUCGCCAUUGCUGCGGUUAAAAAGCUCGUAGUUGGAUCUGCGCCUUCGGACUCGGUCCUCCCAACGGGUGCGAACUGAGCUCCAAGGCUACUACUGCUGGUUUUCCCUUGAUGCUCUUCACUGGGUGUCUUGGGUGGCUAGCGAGUUUACUUUGAAAAAAUUAGAGUGCUCAAAACAGGCUAUUGCCUGAAUACCGGUGCAUGGAAUAAUAGAAUAGGAUCUCGGUCCUAUUUUGUUGGUUUUCGGAACUGAGAUAAUGGUUAAGAGGGACAGACGGGGGCAUUCGUAUCGCUGCGUGAGAGGUGAAAUUCUUGGACCGCAGCGAGACGCCCAACUGCGAAAGCAUUUGCCAAGAAUGUCUUCGUUAAUCAAGAACGAAAGUCAGAGGUUCGAAGGCGAUCAGAUACCGCCCUAGUUCUGGCCGUAAACGAUGCCAACUAGCGAUCCGCCGGUGGUAAUUACGCCCCGGCGGGGAGCUUCCCGGAAACGAAAGUCUUCCGGUUCCGGGGGAAGUAUGGUUGCAAAGCUGAAACUUAAAGGAAUUGACGGAAGGGCACCACCAGGAGUGGAGCUUGCGGCUUAAUUUGACACAACACGGGAAAACUCACCCGGCCCGGACACCGUAAGGAUUGACAGAUUGAGAGCUCUUUCUUGAUUCGGUGGUUGGUGGUGCAUGGCCGUUCUUAGUUGGUGGAGCGAUUUGUCUGGUUUAUUCCGAUAACGAACGAGACUCUGGCCUACUAACUAGUGACAGAAUUAUUGCUGUUCUGGUUACUUCUUAGAGGGACAAGUGGUGUUCAGCCACACGAAAUUGAGCAAUAACAGGUCUGUGAUGCCCUUAGAUGUCCGGGGCUGCACGCGUGCUACACUGGAGGAAACAGCAUGCAAAACCAUUGCCGAGAGGCAUUGGUAAACCCAAGAAAAUCUUCCGUGAUCGGGAUCGGGAAUUGCAAUUAUUUCCCUUGAACGAGGAAUUCCCAGUAAGUGUGGGUCAUCAGCUCGCGCUGAUUACGUCCCUGCCCUUUGUACACACCGCCCGUCGCUGCCCGGGACUGAGCCGUUUCGAGAAAAGCGGGGACUGCUGCUGUCGGGGCUUUCGGGCCUUGGCUUCGGUGGAAACCGCUUUAAUCGCAGUGGCUUGAACCGGGCAAAAGUCGUAACAAGGUUUCCGUAGGUGAACCUGCGGAAG
rnacentral:rRNA from 1 species